GGUGGCACUGAGGUGACACAGAGGUGACACAGAGGUGACAGAGGUGACACAGAGGUGGCACUGAGGUGACGCGGAGGUGACACUGAGGUGACAGAGGUGACCCGGAGGUGACACGGAGGUGACGCGGAGGUGGCAGUGUGGUGGCACUGAGGUGACCCGGAGGUGACACAGAGGUGACAGAGGUGACCCGGAGGUGAUAGAGGUGACGCGGAGGUGACACAGAGGUGACAGAGGUGACCCGGAGGUGACAGAGGUGGCACUGAGGUGACACAGAGGUGACAGAGGUGACACUGAGGUGACAUUGAGGUGACACAGAGGUGACAGAGGUGACCCGGAGGUGACACAGAGGUGACCCGGAGGUGACACA
ensembl:lncRNA